rnacentral:rRNA from 1 species
UACGUAGGGUGCAAGCGUUAAUCGGAAUUACUGGGCGUAAAGCGUGCGCAGGCGGUUAUGUAAGACAGAUGUGAAAAUCCCCGGGCUCAACCCUGGGAACUGCAUCCGAGACUGCAUUGCUAGAGUAUGGGAGAGGGAAGCGGAAUUUUCUGGUGUAGCAGUGAAAUGCGUAGAUAUCAGAAGGAAACAUCAGUGGCGAAGGCGGCUUCCUGGACCAAAUACUGACGAUCAGGUGCGAAAGCGUGGGGAGCAAACAGG